rnacentral:tRNA from 1 species
GUCCCUGUAGCGCAAUGGGUAGCACGUUGGACUUCUAAUGCGAUGGUUGUGGGUUCGAAUCCCACCUAGGACG